rnacentral:rRNA from 1 species
AGUAGAUCUCGUUGGUGACCAGCGGAGGGUCAUUACCGAGUUUACAACUCCCAAACCCAAUGUGAACGUUACCAAACUGUUGCCUCGGCGGGAUCUCUGCCCCGGGUGCGUCGCAGCCCCGGACCAAGGCGCCCGCCGGAGGACCAACCAAAACUCUUAUUGUAUACCCCCUCGCGGGUUUUUUUUAUAAUCUGAGCCUUCUCGGCGCCUCUCGUAGGCGUUUCGAAAAUGAAUCAAAACUUUCAACAACGGAUCUCUUGGUUCUGGCAUCGAUGAAGAACGCAGCGAAAUGCGAUAAGUAAUGUGAAUUGCAGAAUUCAGUGAAUCAUCGAAUCUUUGAACGCACAUUGCGCCCGCCAGUAUUCUGGCGGGCAUGCCUGUCCGAGCGUCAUUUCAACCCUCGAACCCCUCCGGGGGGUCGGCGUUGGGGAUCGGCCCUGCCUUGGCGGUGGCCGUCUCCGAAAUACAGUGGCGGUCUCGCCGCAGCCUCUCCUGCGCAGUAGUUUGCACACUCGCAUCGGGAGCGCGGCGCGUCCACAGCCGUUAAACACCCAACUUCUGAAAUGUUGACCUCGGAUCAGGUAGGAAUACCCGCUGAACUUAAGCAACA